GCUGUGGUGUAACGGUUAGCAUAUCUGACUGGUAAUCAGAAGACCCAGGUUCGAUCCCUGGCGUGAGCA